rnacentral:misc_RNA from 1 species
AAGUCGUAACAAGGUUUCCGUAGGUGAACCUGCGGAAGGAUCAUUAUCAACGUAUCCACGUUUAUAAACCAAAUUCGUGAAUUGUUUAUCAUUGCCUUUGGGUUAUUGGCCGCUAUCAGUUUGACACAUAUGGAGUUCAUUGUAUGGUUAUGGGCUCGUCCUGAUAAUUUAAGGCUGUCUCUCCAAAGUGUAGUUAAUCAUACGUUAAUUAUUUUUAUUAACCAAUUGAACCACUUUUAUUUUUAUACUUUGUUUGAACUGAUUUGUUUCUUUACUUGGCACUUGAUUGUGCUGAGAAGGAAAAUAAAUUACGAAACAAUAAAAGAACAACUCUUAGCAACGGAUAUCUUGGUUCUC